rnacentral:rRNA from 1 species
UACGAAGGGGGCUAGCGUUGUUCGGAAUCACUGGGCGUAAAGCGCACGUAGGCGGAUUGUUAAGUCGGGGGUGAAAUCCUGAGGCUCAACCUCAGAACUGCCUUCGAUACUGGCAAUCUCGAGUCCGGAAGAGGUUGGUGGAACAGCUAGUGUAGAGGUGAAAUUCGUAGAUAUUAGCUAGAACACCAGUGGCGAAGGCGGCCGACUGGUACGGUACUGACGCUGAGGUGCGAAAGCGUGGGGAGCAAACAGG